rnacentral:rRNA from 1 species
UACGGAGGGUGCUAGCGUUGUUCGGAAUUACUGGGCGUAAAGGGCGCGUAGGCGGCCGUUUGCGUCGGAUGUGAAAGCCCGGGGCUCAACCUCGGAACGGCAUUCGAUACGGGACGGCUGGAGACCGGGGAGAGGAGAGUGGAAUAGCCAGUGUAGAGGUGAAAUUCGUAGAUAUUGGCUGGAACACCGGUGGCGAAAGCGGCUCUCUGGCCCGGUUCUGACGCUGAGGCGCGAAAGCGUGGGGGAGCAAACAGG